ACAUGCAAGUCGAGGGGUAGAAGGAGCUUGCUCCUUUGAGACCGGCGCACGGGUGCGUAAACGCGUAUGCAAUCUACCUUUUGCAGAGGGAUAGCCCAGAGAAAUUUGGAUUAAUACCUCAUAGUAUGUGAGGAUGGCAUCAUUUUCACAUUAAAGUCACAACGGCAAAAAGAUGAGCAUGCGUCCCAUUAGCUAGUUGGUAAGGUAACGGCUUACCAAGGCUACGAUGGGUAGGGGUCCUGAGAGGGAGAUCCCCCACACUGGUACUGAGACACGGACCAGACUCCUACGGGAGGCAGCAGUGAGGAAUAUCGGACAAUGGGCGCAAGCCUGAUCCAGCCAUGCCGCGUGCAGGAUGACGGUCCUAUGGAUUGUAAACUGCUUUUGUACAGGAAGAAACACUACUUCGUGAAGUAGCUUGACGGUACUGUAAGAAUAAGGAUCGGCUAACUCCGUG
rnacentral:rRNA from 1 species